GUAGUCAUAUGCCUGUCUCAAAGAUUAAGCCAUGCACGUGUAAGUAUAAACAAAUCUAUACUGUGAAACUGCGAAUGGCUCAUUAAAUCAGUUAUAGUUUAUUUGAUAGUACCUUACUACAUGGAUAACCGUAGUAAUUCUAGAGCUAAUACAUGCUAAAAGCCCCGACUUCGGAAGGGGUGUAUUUAUUAGAUAAAAAACCAAUCUGCUUCGGCAGUUUUGUGGUGAUUCAUAAUAACUUUGCGAAUCGUAUGGCCUUGAGCCGACGAUGAUUCAUUCAAAUUUCUGCCCUAUCAACUUUCGAUGGUAAGGUAUUGGCUUACCAUGGUUACAACGGGUAACGGGGAAUG
rnacentral:rRNA from 1 species